AUUUAUAUAGUAUAUUAGUAUAUUUGACUUCCAAUCAAAAGGAUAAAUUUAAUUUUAUAUAAAUA
rnacentral:tRNA from 1 species